UGGCGCACGGGUGAGUAACACGUGAAUAAUCUACCUCCGAGUGGGGAAUAACCUGGAGAAAUCUAGGCUAAUACCGCAUAACACUUACGAGUCAAAGCAGCAAUGCGCUUGGAGAGGAGUUCGCGGCAGAUUAGUUAGUUGGCGGGGUAAUGGCCCACCAAGACGAUGAUCUGUAUCCGGCCUGAGAGGGCGCACGGACACACUGGAACUGAAACACGGUCCAG
rnacentral:rRNA from 1 species